rnacentral:rRNA from 1 species
AACGAACGCUGGCGGCAGGCCUAACACAUGCAAGUCGAGCGAGACCUUCGGGUCUAGCGGCGGACGGGGGAGUAACGCGUGGGAACGUGCCCUCCUCUACGGAAUAGCCCCGGGAAACUGGGAGUAAUACCGUAUACGCCCUUUGGGGGCAAGAUUUAUCGGAGAAGGAGCGGCCCGCGUUGGAUUCGGUAGUUGGUGUGGUAAUGGCCCACCAAGCCGACGAUCCACAGCUGGUUUGUGAGGCUGAUCAGCAACACUGGGACUGAGACACGGCCCGGACUCCUCCGGGAGGCAGCAGUGCGGAAUCUUAGACCGUGGGGGCAACCCUGAUCUAGCCCUGCCGCGUGAGUGAUGAAGGCCUUAGGGUUGUAAAGCUCUUUCAGCUGGGAAGAUAAUGACGGUACCAGCAGAGGAAGCCCCGGCUAACUCCGUG